UUCGCAAUGCCCGAAAGGGUGACGAAGCGACGCCGCGUGUGGGAAGAAGGCCUUCGGGUUGUAAACCACUGUCGGGAGUUAAGAAAUGCAAGGAUAUUAAUAGUGUCUUUGCUUGACUAAGGCUCCGGAGGAAGCCACGGCUAACUCUGUGCCAGCAGUCGCGGUAAUACAGAGGCGGCAAGCGUUGUUCGGAAUUAUUGGGCGUAAAGAGCACGUAGGCGGCUAUGUAAGUCGGUUGUGAAAGCCUUCCGCUCAACGGGAGAACAGCAUCCGAUACUGCAUGGCUUGAGUGCGGGAGGGGAGAGUGGAACUUCUGGUGGAGCGGUGAAAUGCGUAGAUAUCAGAAGGAACGCCGGCGGCGAAAGCGGCUCUCUGGCCCAUAACUGACGCUGAGUGUGCGAAAGCUAGGGGAGCAAACGGGAUUAGAUACCCCGGUAGUCCUAGCCGUAAACGAUGGGCACUAAGUAGAGGGGUUUU
rnacentral:rRNA from 1 species